UCUCAUGACAUCACAUUCUCGUGACAUCACAUUCUCAUGACAUCACAUUCUCGUGACAUCAAAAUUCUCAUGACAUCACAUUCUCAUGACAUCACAUUCUCAUGACAUCACAUGACAUCACAUUCUCGUGACAUCACAUUCUCCUGACAUCACAUUGUGAUGUAAUCACAUUCUCAUGACAUCACAUUCUCGUGACAUCACAUUCUCAUGACAUCACAUGACAUCACAUUCUCAUGACAUCACAUUCUCAUGACAUCACAUGGCAACGGGGGAAGCUUUGAAGCAUUCAAGUCUAAUCAGCCCUAAUUAUAACCUGCUUAUUAUAACCUGGUUAAAUAUAACCUGGUUAUAAUUAUAACAUGGUUAUUAUAAACCUGGUUAUUAUAGCUUGGUUAUUAUUAUAACCAGGUUAAAUAUAACCUAGUUAUAUGUGAGGAGAUGAUUGUGUUUCAAAAGAAGAGCCCAACAUAAUAAGAGUUGUUGACUGAAGUUAGUGAGUUUUACAGUUAUAGAACAUUAAGAACAUCCAAUCUACUGAAGAAGGGAUUGGUAGAAAUAUUCCAUAUACUAUCUGGAUUCUUCAGAAAUCUUUUAAUCCAGUUGAUUUUUUAAAUUUGAUUAAAUACUGUGAAGAUCAAAACAUGAAGUCCACCUUCAGCUGAAGGGUUAGAAAGAACAGAACAUCAUUUAUAAUGAGCAGAAGAGCUGGAGCCUCAGAUCUCAGAUCUCAGGUCUCAGAUCUCAGAUCUCAGGUCUCAGGUCUCAGGUCUCAGGUCUCAGAUCUCAGAUCUCAGAUCUCAGGUCAGCUCUCUGUGUCUGAGUGUAGGACAGUGUUUCCACCAGCAGGAGGCGCUACAUGACAACAGUUCAUCACUUCAACACAGUGAUGCUGAGACCAGCUCUCUCUAUUAUUAUUAUUAUUAGUAUUAGUAUUAUCAUUAGUGAGAUCACAUGUUUCUAUCUGGGAGCUGAAAACCUGUUAUUGAUUGUAUAAAUGUAUUUUAUUGUUUGUUUCUAUUUCUUUCUUGAGGUGAGAUCAUCUCUCCUGAACAACCGGCUUUUGUUCUCUUCUUCUGCUGUUUCUGCAAAUAAAGAAAUAAAAUCUACAUACACUCUGA